AUUGAACGCUGGCGGCAGGCCUAACACAUGCAAGUCGAACGAGUGGCGGACGGGUGAGUAAUGUCUGGGAACCUGCCCGAUGGAGGGGGAUAACUACUGGAAACGGUAGCUAAUACCGCAUACCAUCGGAUGUGCCCAGAUGGGAUUAGCUAGUAGGUGGGGUAAAGGCUCACCUAGGCGACGAUCCCUAGCUGGUCUGAGAGGAUGAUCAGCCACACUGGAACUGAGACACGGCCCAGACUCCUACGGGAGGCAGCAGUAGGGAAUAUUGCACAAUGGGCGCAAGCCUGAUGCAGCCAUGCCGCGUGUAUGAAGAAGGCCUUCGGGUUGUAAAGUACUUUCAGCGGGGAGGCGUUACCCGCAGAAGAAGCACCGGCUAACUCCGUGCCAGCAGCCGCGGUAAUUC
rnacentral:rRNA from 1 species